UACGGAAGGCAGCAGUGGGGAAUAUUGCACAAUGGGCGAAAGCCUGAUGCAGCUAUGCCGCGUGUAUGAAGAAGGCCUUAGGGUUGUAAAGUACUUUUCAUCGGGGAGGAAAAAACAAAACUAAUAAUUUUAUUUCUUGACGUUACCCGAAAAAGAAGCACCGGCUAACUCCGUGCCAGCAGCCGCGGUAAUACGGAGGGUGCUAGCGUUAAUCAGAAUUACUGGGCGUAAAGAGCACGUAGGUGGUUUUUUUAAAGUCAGAUGUGAAAUCCCUGGGCUUAACCUGGAACUUGCAUUUUGAAACUGAAAUACUAGAGUAUCGUAGAGGGAGGUAGAAUUCUAGGUGUAGCGGUGAAAUGCGUAGAUAUCUGGAGGAAUACCUGUGGCGAAAGCGGCCUCCUAAACGAAUACUGACACUGAGGUGCGAAAGCGUGGGGAGCAAACAGGGACUUAGAUACC
rnacentral:rRNA from 1 species